UACAGAGGGUGCAAGCGUUGUUCGGAAUUAUUGGGCGUAAAGCGCGUGUAGGCGGCUUUGCAAGUCGGGUGUGAAAGCCCUCAGCUCAACUGAGGAAGUGCGCCCGAAACUGCAGAGCUUGAGUGCCGGAGAGGGUGGCGGAAUUCCCCAAGUAGAGGUGAAAUUCGUAGAUAUGGGGAGGAACACCGGUGGCGAAGGCGGCCACCUGGACGGCAACUGACGCUGAGGAGCGAAAGCGUGGGGAGCGAACAGG
rnacentral:rRNA from 1 species